rnacentral:lncRNA from 1 species
UGUCAAGUAAGAGAUGAUUAGAAAACACAGGCUGGUACGUUUACUUGAAAUACUCUGACUAAAAACUGCUAUCCUGGGGUUACUCUGCACAGAGCUCAGUCCUUUCCAGUGUUAUGGAUUCUCCUGAAGAAAAUGCAUUUCUUCCCAAGAACAAUGAAGGAGAAAAUACAAGCCAGACAAGUUCUGUAAUCCCCCAGAAAAAUGCCCACUUCUCUUUAGAAUGUGACAGAUGCAAUCUUCGAAUUCACACGUUACAGAAGAGAGCUGAAUCAGU